UUGAGUAUUGAUUACCAAUCAACUACUAGCCUGGAAGAUAAAAGCCAAAGCUGUAAACAGACAGGUCAGGUAAAUAUAUGAAUGAAGAAAUUGAAACUAGAAGUAAACAUCAUGGGAAGUCUAAUUAUAGGGCAAGUAUUUUUCCUUCAUAUCUUAUUUAACAUAGUCAAACCAUGCAAUACUUAUAGGCUUAACUAUUGUUUUCAUAGAAACAAUGUUAUUUUAAAUAUCAUGAGAUAGUGUAUUUAAGAGAUAUUGUAGUUCAAGUUUCCAUAUUUAAUCAGCUUAACAAGUGCACAUUCUCUGCUGCCAACAGUACCAAUUUGUCAUCCAAGCAACAAAUAUUCCUUGGUAAUCUGCUAUCAGAUGACAGUUAUCUCUUUGGCAUUUUUAUGAAUUAAAGCUUUCAAAGCCAAAGUAAGACUUAAUUUUUUCUUUUCUUUAACUGCUAAUUCUAAAAUAAUUUAUCAUUGCAUGUUAAAAAUAACUUGUUAUACAUUUUUCUGUGUUUUUGGUCAAGCUUCAGAUUUGCUUAGCAUAUUCCUGUACUACAUAUCAACAAAUGUUUGAUGGUUUGUCUGGUUCAUCUCUUAACACUAUGAAGAUGGCUACACUAAUCUUAACAAGCAAACAUUCUGUUGCCAACAGUACCAAUUUGUCAUCCUAUCCAAGCAACUACUAUUCCUUGGUAAUCUGCUAUCAGAUGAUUACAGUUUUCUCUUUGGCAUUUGUAUGAAUUAAAGCAUUCAAAGCCAAACCUUAGAUUUGGUUAGCAUAACCCUGAACUGCAUAUCAACAAAUGUCUAAUGGUCUGUCUGGUUCAUUUCUCAAGACUAUGAAGAUGGCUACACAGGUAUCAGCUAUCAGCAGUGCACCCCUAUGAUACACAAGUCUUCAUUGCCAAGUCACUCUGCCAAACAGUGUGUACACCUUUCUUGCAUUGGUAGUGACCCACUUUACUGUCAUGAGUCUGGAUAUGUCAGGCCAAGGAGAUCAAGUUUGUGUCCAAGGUUACUUAGUUAAUUCUCUAAGAACAAUAGACAGACUCUACAUGCUACUGAUCUGGAGGUUAGUGGCUCAAUCAUUGUGCACUGAUUCUUCACUGAUGCCUUGAUUCUCCACUGUCAACUUUAUUGUCAUAAAGUUUAUCUAGUGAUCUACAUAUCAAGACUAAAUGGUCAAUUAAACAUGAGGUCAAGGAAAAAGGAUGAACAUUUCAAGGCUACUGAAGGAACAUUAAACGUCUCUCUCACUGUGAAAAGAUUCUACCGAUCUACAAAUGAUCAACAUGUUUUAUCUUAAGUUCGUCUGCCAUUUCUUCAAAUGGAGCCAUAUUAAGAAUAAGAUUCUUUUUGUUCUUCCUUAGGUUCAAAUGUAUCAGUUGUUUUUGUUGACAGAUAUCAAGUCAUUUCAGUUCUCAAUUAUUUUGUGCACUAAGUUACAAGAAAAAAUUCAAGCAAAAGAGGUCACUACACUAAGACUUUGUCUUCUCAUAAGAAUGGAUGGCUGCCUGGUCAUGUGAUAUGUGUGCUGGACUGUGUGUGGUCAUCUUGAUGCUCAUAUCUUGCCUGAUGACAUUUAUUCUGCUGGACAUUUGGUCAAGGAAGUAGAUUCUCUUCAGUUCUCAAGAAACAUUCAAAACAUGUCAAACAUUUGACAAGAAUAUCAAACAAGUGCAGUGUACAUACCAACAUGAUGAAGAUGUAGACCAACAUGAUGAAGAUGUAGACCAACAUGAUAAAGAUGUAGACCAGCAUGAUGAAGAUGUAGACCAGCAUGAUGAAGAUGUAGACCAGCAUGAUGAAGAAGUAGACCAGCAUGAUGAAGAUGUAGACCAACAUGAAAUUGUAGGCCAACAUGAAAUUGUAGGCUGACAUGAUGAAGAUGUAGACUGACAUGAAGAUGAAAUGUAAACUAAAAUAUUCAUCAAGAGAUGUAUGGAAUAAAAAGUGAACAUCUUGAGAGGGAAAACAAUUCCUAGAGGCAAAGACACAGACACAGUAGAUACAUAAGAGAUUGUUUCCUUUUCUACCAUCAUUUAGAGCCUUUUUUGUGAGGGAACCUGCAUCUGAAAGAACUGAACAUUUCCCUAAUGCUACUUCAAAUUCAGAUCUCCUCCCAACCUCAGGCUGAGUACCCGUGGUCACCUACUUUGUUACAUUACCAUAGCACUACAGACAGUGGAAAACAAAUUAUAUGAAGGAAUGCAACCACCAUCAGAUAUUGUUGUCUUUACAGACUCCCAAUCUACUCUUCAAGAACUUAACAGCAGCACCUCACAGCUCAAGAGAGUUGACAACACUCAUUGUGAUAAUCCAUCAGAUGAUAUCAAAAUUAAAUAUUAAUAUCACACUACAGUGGAUCCCUGGACACAUUGUCAUCAUGGGAAAUGAAAAGGCAGAUAAGCUAUCAAAGGCAGGUUCAUCUAUGGAACAACCAGAUAGACCUGUUAACUACCUCACCCUAAGGUCAAUGUUAGUCAACAAUCAUAAAGAGGAGUGGCUCAACCAAUGGGCAUCAGGAAACACAGGCAGAGCCAUGUACAAAGAAAUGACUACACCUAACAAACUGGACAGUAUUAACUUCCUCCCCUGCAAAGAACAAUCUACAAUUUUCCAACUAAGAACAGGACACACUCCACUAUUAAAUUACCACCUGAACAAAAUAAACUCCACACAACUCCUCCUAUGCAGACACUGCGCCCACCCCUUUGAAACCGUAAACCAUAUCCUCUUUGAAUGCUCCUCCCUAAUCCACCUUAGGCAGACCCUACUUCCACUACAGCCCAACAUAACCAACACCCUGUACGGCAGUGCUGAACAACUGAAGAAAACAGCACACUUUUUUUCAUUGGCACAGUCUGCAAAAGAGCUUACAGCUCAGCAGCAAUAAAGCUGGCUAGAAGAAGAAAAAAGGUUACAUUACAAGAAGUGGUCGCAAAGUCAGAAAACCUAACAGAUGACAAUGAGUAGAACAAUCAUUUCUGAUACAGGUACAAGAACUCAAGUGAUGUACUUUGUAAGAACUAAUUAGGUGGAAUCACCAUAAUUGAUUUCUAUCUUGUUCUAUAUAUAGGUAUAUCUUGACAAUCAGUCCAGUCAUUGUUCAUUCUUUUUUAAUAUUCCUUUUGUUCCCUUAAUCAUCUUGCUGUUUCAGUUAAUGUUUUUAUCUUUUUUCUUUUUGGAGGAGGGAGGGGCUGUGGUAUAUUAUUAUUAUUAUUAUUGAAGUCGCUACAUUAUGCUUUUAAUUCAAUUUAUCAUCUCCCCUUCUUUUGUGUGCUAUCAUAUUAAUGUUCAUUAGUGUCACAUCCAUGCACAAUUUGUUCUAUGCUUUUUAUAGUGUAAAUAGUGACUUGACAAUAUUUAGAUCAAUUAUAUGUUAUAUUAUAUUUAAACUAAAACUGUUAGCAUUUUCUAUGAUGUUAUUAAUAUGAAUGUGUUUGUGUGUUGCUAUGAAUGCAUUUUAAGUUUUAGUCUAAAAUCAUAAAAAUAAGAAAUUGUUUCAUAAACAAAGAUUAUAUUAAUAUUUAAUAUUGUCAGACUUCACUAUAGCAUUGAGUUCAUCCCCAUAGUCUAUUUAAAACUUUCAAAUACUAAUUCACUUUGUCUUAUCUAAUGGUGAUCAUGGGGGGUAUCCGUUAUCCAUAGUCUCUGAGGAUGUAAUCUCUAUUUCUGAUGGAACACAUGUAAAACCAAGAAAACAAACAGUAGACCUAGACUUUAUUAACAGGUCAUGAAAGCAUUUUUUUAUAAUUGUGAACUGAUGUUCUCAGAGCUAUUUUUAUGUAUUUCUAUUUUUGCUACUUUUGUAGACUAGUGCUAAGCUGUAUGCUUAUACUUCCGCCUAUUAUUAUAUGGGUUAGGGCGAUGCUGUUUCCUGUACUGUUGACCAGAGUGUGUCAGUUUUAAUUAUUCUGUACUUGGAACUGCCUUUAAGUUUCAGAAUUAUUUUUUUUUCUAUAUGUAAAGCUACUUUAUAUAUAUAGUUUUAUAUUAUGGUACAUUAUUUUUCUAAUUGAAACAACUGUCAAAAUAAUUGGCAGUUUGUUUUUUUAAAGUUUGUUUUAAAAUGAUGGCCACUUCUAAUGUUUAUGUACUAGAUCUUUUCCUAAUUUUUGUUUUUUUAUCUGCAGUGUUUUGUAACUGCUGCUUUGCUCAUUUGAAUUAAAGUAUCAUUUUGUUA